AGAGGCCGUCCGCGCGAGCCGGGCCGCAGCCUCUGUCGCCGGGUUCCCGCGGUGCCGCACCUCCCUCGGCCUCCGGGGCCCAGGAGGAAGGAGCUGGUGCGGUCUUUGCGGCGGGACCACAGGAGAGACUCCAUCCGGAUUGCGUCGCUCGCACGGAGACGUCCAGAGACCGGCCUCGGGCGCGCUUUCCCCGGCGGCUCGUUGGUCUAGGGCAAUGUCUGGUCUGAGGUAGCUGACUUCUGAAUCCCUGAGUUGUGCAGCUGGAGAACAAAUGGCCUGCGACCGAGUCUCAGGAUCCGAGCAGAGGAUGUGGAUAAGUCCCCGCCAGCCAUCAAGUCCCCGCAGCAGCCGCAUGGGCGGCGCGUGCCAGGUCUCACAGGAGCCAGAGAGGGCCCUGGCUCUGAGCUGAUAGUGUUCCGUUGUGUGACGUAAGAUCUCGAAGUUCCGAUUCUGGCCAAGUGGGUGUCCAGGAACUGGAGAUGCGAUGCUGACCCCUGUGCCUUCCACAACCACGGAGAGAGAGCAGCUGCAGCAGGACUGUGAAUCCUCAGCGUUGGGGCCGCCAUGAUGAUGCCGGGCACUGGGCUCUGAGUCUUUCUUUCUUUCUUUCUUUCUUUCUUUCUUUCUUUCUUUCUUUCUUUCUUUCUUUUUUUCUUUCUUUCUUUCUUUCCUUUCUUUUUUCUUCUUUCUCUCCUCCCUCCCUCCCUCCCUCCCUCACUGGAGUUUUACUACAUUUUCUUAUUUGAGUAUUCAGGUAAAGCAAACCGUUAGAGAUGGCUGCCAGUGAGGACAUGGUUUGUUGCUCAUAGGGGAGGGAGCAUGACAUCCUAAGUGACCAUAACUGCGUUUGCCUUCUUAGCAAGACCCUACCUGCAUUGUGAUUUUCACGGAAGGAAGAGACAAGAAGAGUUAACAGCUGUGUGCUCAGCUAGUCUUAAUGAUUUCAGGAGACUCCGGGUGGUUGGGGCAGUGAACACUGACCUAGAGUGAGAUCUGGAGGAAGAGGUGGCUGUAGGUGUGGGCUCUGCAGGUGUGUUUAUGUGUGAAGCCCUCAUUCCAGAGACUCUAGAAACUGGCUAACCUGGGAGGGACAGUGCUAGCCAGGCCCAGAUAUCACAGCAUCAGAAUGAAGAAAAUAGUCCUAUUUGAAACUUAGAGUCAUACAAGUGCCUCUUCAAGGAAAGCUGCGCUCAGGCUGGGAGCUCCGAGCAGUGGGCCUUGCCUCUAAACUACCCGUAUUUCCCUUCUUAACCCAGGGUCCUGCGCUCUGGGGCUCCUUUCCUAGUUCCCAGCUUCCCAACCCUUAAACACAGUUUCCACAUUUCAGCUCGACAGUUGCCAGCUGGUGGUGGUGCACGCCUUUGACCCCACGCAGGGAGGCAGAGGCAGGCUGAUCUCUGUGUGUUUGAGGCCAGUUCGGACUACAGUGUGAGUCCAGGACAGCCAAGGCUAUACAGAGAAACCCUGUCUCAAAACAAACAGACCAAAAAACAAAAUGAACUUGAUGAUUAUCAACCCUAGAGUCAUUCCUUCUUCCCCCUUUCACUUUAGGGGACAGAAUCAAAUCUUGCCCUGACAAAUGAUGGAAGAGGGGGAAAUUCAUGAAAACGAAAGACAAUUGCAGAUGGACUGGUUAACACCUAGAGUUUACAUGUUACGUGCCUUGUUGGCUUAGGGGUAUGGUUGCUGGUUAGGGUGUGAGAGGUCCUGGCUUCCAACCUCUCUUUAAGAGAGACCAGAGGGCUAUAUCUGGUUUGGAAUGGUGACUGAGGCUUGGGAAUUGUAGGCCCCUGCCCCCGACCAGAGUUGUCUUUGUGACUGUAGGUAGGCUGUUCUGCUAGCAGCCACUCACUGUGCCACCAAAACCAAAGGCUCAGGAUCAUGAUGGACACGGUGGGUCAGUGGGCUCAGGGUAAGGGGAGCUUUGGUGAGCUGGCUAGAGGCUGCACCGCUCACAGGAGAGGCUGGCCACCCCUCUGCCCUCGGGGUCUGGUUCCCAUGUCGGCAGAUGGACAGCAAACACCAGCAAUCGUUCAGCACAGCAUCAGGCCCCAGACAGGCCUCGGCAGUGGCAGUGGGGUUCUCUAGUGCCGUGGCCUCUUUCUAGGGUGCACAGCUCCUGUGUGAAGGAAGUAGGCUUUGCUGGGAGCAGCUUUUGGACAGGUCUAGACAUCAGGAUUCCUCCGCUCUCAGCUGAAGUGAUCCACAGGAGAUAGUGAUUGACAACCACACUGAUUAAGCCAACUAAAAGUUUUAAACUGAGCUCACACCUUUAAUCCUGGCACUCAGGAGGCAGAGCAGGCAGAUCUCUGUGAGUUCAUAGGCCCGCCCUUGUUAGGGAUUUUACUCAGGGAAAUUGUCGCAACAAAGGAGAGUUUCAGGACAGCCAGAGUUCUACAGAGAAACCCUGUCUCUAAAAACCUCAAACAAUAAAAACAAAUAAAAGUUUUAAGUCCUUUCUGUUGACUGGUUCUCAACCUUCCUAAUGCUGUGACCCUUCCAUACAGUUCAUGUUGUGGUGACCCCAACAAUAAAAUCAUUUUGUUGCUA